rnacentral:rRNA from 1 species
UACGUAGGGGGCAAGCGUUGUCCGGAUUUAUUGGGCGUAAAGAGCGUGUAGGCGGCCACACAGGUCUGCUGUGAAAACUCGAGGCUCAACCUCGAGACGUCGGUGGAAACCGUUUGGCUAGAGUCCGGAAGAGGAGAGUGGAAUUCCCGGUGUAGCGGUGAAAUGCGCAGAUAUCGGGAAGAACACCCGUGGCGAAGGCGGCAUCCUGGACCAACACUGACGCUGAUGAGCGAAGGCCAGGGGAGCAAACGGG